AUAAUGACUCUCGGCAACGGAUAUCUCGGCUCUCGCAUCGAUGAAGAACGUAGCGAAAUGCGAUACUUGGUGUGAAUUGCAGAAUCCCGUGAACCAUCGAGUCUUUGAACGCAAGUUGCGCCCGAAGCUUCGGCUAAGGGCACGUCUGCCUGGGCGUCACGC
rnacentral:rRNA from 1 species